rnacentral:rRNA from 1 species
UGGGGAAUAUUGGACAAUGGGGGCAACCCUGAUCCAGCGAUGCCGCGUGAGUGAAGAAGGCCUUCGGGUUGUAAAACUCUUUCACCUGUGAAGAUAAUGACGGUAGCAGGAGAAGAAGCACCGUCAAACUCUGUGCCAGCAGCCGCGGUAAUACAGAGGGUGCUAGCGUUGUUCGGAAUGACUGGGCGUAAAGGGCGCGUAGGCGGUUGACUAAGUCAGAUGUGAAAGCCCAGGGCUUAACCUUGGAAUGUCAUUUGAUACUGGUCGACUGGAGUACGAGAGAGGAAAGUGGAAUUCCUAGUGUAGAGGUGAAAUUCGUAGAUAUUAGGAGGAACACCAGAGGCGAAGGCGGCUUUCUGGCUCGUAACUGACGCUAAGGCGCGAAAGCGUGGGGAGCAAA